UCCUGCCUGAUUUAGGCUAUCUGUAACCCUAAUUAACAUCUGAACCUGCUAAUCAAGGCAUCCAAGGUCGCUAGAACCUUCCAGACAGGUGUGCUGGAAAAAGUUGGCUCAAAGCUCCACAAGAAAGUGCCCCUCCAGGAGGACUGGACACGUCUAUAUUAAGACCAUUGGGAUGUAAUGGACAAAAAAGAACUGUCCUGUAUCCCCCAGACACCGGUGGGAGGAACCGAAGCACCUCUCUGACCACACAGUCCAGGUCACCAACUGAGUUUACCAGAGUGUUGGGCCCCAGGAUGAUGCGUGUGCUCUGGGGCCACUGCGUGCACACCAGCGUGUGUUCACCCAGCAGAAUCUUACGGAUGUUUUCUGCACCGGUCACUCGGAUGAGGGGUUUACCCAAAAGAGGAAGUUGUCUGGAUGGCCAAAACGCCAAUCACUCAACAUCCCGCCUCCCCGCUGACAGGAGUUUCCUGUGAUGAAUGACAGGGCUGGACUGCAAUAAAGAACUUGAUUCAGUUUUACCCUCCAGAUCAUCUGAAAGACACUACUUAAGUAAAAUGUAGAAUAAGUGAAGAAGUGUACAUAGGCUACCUCUGGUAUUUCUUCAACAUGGUAAUUGU